rnacentral:sRNA from 1 species
GCUGUACUGGUCAGAUUGGGAUACUCAUCAAUUUUUCUGAAUCACCGAGACAAGUUGUCUAUCUAAUGGCGUGCCGAUACUGCGCUUUCAAUGCAGCGUGGGGGUCGGAUUACAGAGGGUAGGGAACACUCAAAUCUUUUUUCACUCGGAGUUUCAUCAUCUUCACCGGUACAGCCUUCUU